rnacentral:rRNA from 1 species
GACGAACGCUGGCGGCGUGCUUAACACAUGCAAGUCGAACGGAAAGGCCUCUUUCGGGGGGUACUCGAGUGGCGAACGGGUGAGUAACACGUGAGUAACCUGCCCUUGACUUUGGGAUAACUUCAGGAAACUGGGGCUAAUACCGGAUAGGAGCUCCUGCUGCAUGGUGGGGGUUGGAAAGUUUCGGCGGUUGGGGAUGGACUCGCGGCUUAUCAGCUUGUUGGUGGGGUAGUGGCUUACCAAGGCUUUGACGGGUAACCGGCCUGAGAGGGUGACCGGCCACAUUGGGACUGAGAUACGGCCCAGACUCCUACGGGAGGCAGCAGUGGGGAAUAUUGCACAAUGGGUGGAAGCCUGAUGCAGCAACGCCGUGUGCGGGAUGACGGCCUUCGGGUUGUAAACCGCUUUCGCUCAUGACGAAGCUUUGUGUGACGGUAGUGGGUAAAGAAGCACCGGCUAACUACGUG